UUUAGAUUGGGGACAACAGUUGGAAACGACUGCUAAUACCGAAUGUGCCUUAGGGUGAAAGAUUAAUUGUCUAGAGAUUGGCUCGCGUCAGAUUAGCUAGUUGGAGUGGUAACGGCACACCAAGGCGACGAUCUGUACUUGGUCUGAGAGGAUGACCAGGCACACUGGAACUGAGACACGGUCCAGACUCCUACGGGAGGCAGCAGUGGGGAAUUUUCCGCAAUGGGCGAAAGCCUGACGGAGCAAUACCGCGUGAGGGAGGACGGCUUUUGGGUUGUAAACCUCUUUUAUCAGGGAAGAAUCGAUGACGGUACCUGAUGAAUCAGCAUCGGCUAACUCCGUGCCAGCAGCCAGCGGUAAUACGGAGGAUGCAAGCGUUAUCCGGAAUUAUUGGGCGUAAAGCGUCCGUAGGUGGUUUAUGCAAGUCUGCUGUCAAAGCGUGCGUGCUUAACCGCAUAAGGGCAGUGGAAACUGAUGAACUAGAGUGCGAUAGGGGUAACAGGAAUUCCCAGUGUAGCGGUGAAAUGCGUAGAUAUUGGGAAGAACACCAGCGGCGAAAGCCGUGUUACUGGGUCUGCACUGAUAGUGACGGGAUGAGUGUCUUCGAUA
rnacentral:rRNA from 1 species